AAAAAUGGUGGCUCCUAGUCACAGUGCCGUGCGGCUGUGUGCAGCGUCGUGAGACGUCGGGGGAAUUCUCGCGACUGCGCUUGUUUAAAUUACCGACAAGACCCGAGGGGGUAGCCCUCAGGAGCCGGCGAGACGCUUCGCCUCUUGAGCUGGCUCUGCUUUCGAGGUGGCGAUCCAGUUCAUAUAACAGCAAAUCCAGUAGCUUGGACCCAGACAGCCCGUCGCUUCCCGCCCUUCAAUUUGGGUCGCACCCGCCCGGGGCCAAAACGCAGAGUUCCUGUAUCGGGCAGGAACGUCUGGAUGCAUUGCCUUCCACCUUGCUGAUCAUCACUUCCACCAAGAGUGGGUCCGCCACGCUCUCCAUUUUUGGCGCUUGGCGGCACGCUUCCCGCCGCGCCGCGAGCGUGUCUCCGUCGCAACCUGGACCGUGCUGGUGGAGGACCGUCCGGUGGGCUGGGCCUCAGCGCUACGCUGGAGGGAACAGCCCCGGCCCAAGUGCGGCACGCCCCCGGAGACCGUCCCCGAGCCCUUCCGGGGCAACACUUUGGAGGACCGGCACCCGCACGAGCCCGCGGCUGUAUACAACAAGGCGGAGUGCCGCCUGCUGUGCCCCGUCUGCGGAGUGCCGGAACUGCACCGCCCCACCCACCUGGCGGGCGCCUUGCACCAAGCCCGCGUCGCCGCGGACUGGGCUCGCCGAGCCGCGCCAUCUCCUGCUGCACCUUCGGCAGCCCCCCGCCCGUUGGAAGUCGCAGAGGCCAUCCGAGUGCUCCGCCAACUCCGCCCAGAUCUGCUCCGCGACCCAGCCCACGAGGAGGCCAUCUUAGACCUCGACCUCUAAGGGGGGGGGAGGUGUGGGGCGCUCGGCCCGCCACACGGCGGCCAAACGGCAACUAGGCAACUAGCGGGGGGGCGGCUCCGGGUGCUCACAGCAUACCCACGGGCUUAAAAGGGAUGGCCUGUGCGGCCGACAGUAGUUGCUGCCCCGAGUCUUGGCUAGGUCGGAAUCCCCGAGUCAUGGUAAUAAACCCCGCUUGACCCCAAGGAA
rnacentral:misc_RNA from 1 species